UGGGGAAUCUUGCGCAAUGGGCGAAAGCCUGACGCAGCCAUGCCGCGUGAAUGAUGAAGGUCUUAGGAUUGUAAAAUUCUUUCACCGGGGACGAUAAUGACGGUACCCGGAGAAGAAGCCCCGGCUAACUUCGUGCCAGCAGCCGCGGUAAUACGAGGGGGGCUAGCGUUGCUCGGAAUUACUGGGCGCAAAGGGAGCGUAGGCGGACUGUUAAGUCAGGGGCGAAAUCCCGGGGCUCAACCUCGGAAUUGCCUUUGAUACUGGGUGUCUUGAGCGUGAGAGGGGGAUGUGGAACUCCGGGUGUAGAGGUGAAAUUCGUAGAUAUUCGGCAGAAAACCAGUGGCGAAGGCGACAUCCUGGCUCAUUACUGACGCUGAGGCUCGAAAGCGUGGGGAGCAAAAA
rnacentral:rRNA from 1 species